GUAAAUUUGCUUUGUAUUAAUCCCAAGCUCCUCUAAUAGCGGCGGCUCAUCUUCAAAUCCAAUUGAUCCACCGCCGCCGCCGAUGGUGGCGGAGGCAAACUGGGGAGUGGAAAAUGAAGUUGAUGCAGCUGCUGAUCCAAUGUCAAAUGACAUAAAAGGUAUUCCAGGGUUUGAAGAUCUCGGCGGCUGAAAAGGAGCCGUCGGUGGAUUAGCCGGAGGACGGCGUUGCUGUACACUGGGGUUUCCAUCGGAGGGGAAUAUCACCGGAGGAACGUUGAAUUGUUUCGCCAUUGAUCGGAGAUCUGAAAAUUGCAGAAAAUUAGGGGUUUUGAGAGAGUUUGAAAAUGAAAUUUGGGGAUUGGAAGAGGAGAAGGAAAUGAAUAUGACCCGAAACUUGAAGGUUCGGGUCGUCUCG
rnacentral:misc_RNA from 1 species